rnacentral:tRNA from 1 species
CCGGUAGCUCAGCUGGAUAGAGCACCUGACUUCGAAUCAGGUGGUCGGGGGUUCGAAUCCCUCUCGGUG